rnacentral:rRNA from 1 species
UACGAACUGUGCAAGCGUUAUUCGGAAUCACUGGGCUUAAAGGGUGCGUAGGCGGCUUGUUAAGUAGGGUGUGAAAGCCCCCGGCUCAACCGGGGAAUUGCGCCCUAAACUGGCGAGCUGGAGUGAGAUAGGGGUGUGUGGAACUUCCGGUGGAGCGGUGAAAUGUGUUGAUAUCGGAAGGAACGCCGGUGGCGAAAGCGACACACUGGAUCUUGUCUGACGCUGAGGCACGAAAGCCAGGGGAGCGAACGGG